CCAUGCCGACCUGGUUCAGGCCGGAAUGUGGGAUACUGAGAGGUAUCUCAAGCCUCAUUCUUGCCGCCUCUGUGGCUGGACUUCUAGCUGUGUUGUCUGGCCAUCAGUGUCAGCAGCUUAUGGCCAUGGAAGGGGUCACCUUUCCCAGGGGCUGGCCAGAGCCAGGACUCCUUGAAGCAUAUUUCCAAAAAAUGCCAUUACAGUUGCCUUAACUGCUCUAUAAGACCUGGAAUCACAGAACACUGAGAAUUAGAACACACACAUCAAGCUGUAAUGCCUACUUGUGCUGAACCAUUACUACCAAAAGGGAUGUUGUUUCUUAAAUAAGCAGAUAUGUGGCAAUGCAAAAUAAAAUACAAACUGGUUA